ensembl:lncRNA
CUGAAAUUAGUUGUCCCCGCUCAGGACUCUAGUGGAUGCCUCACGUCUGACAGAUCCAACCCUGAACGGCUGAUCCCCCGGCCCAACCUGCCCACCCCUUCUCCAUCUCUCUGACAGCAGCUCUAGCCACCUAGUUACUGGGACCCAAACCACUCCAUUUACCCUUGACUCCUCUCUUUCUCUCACAUCACCUCCAACCCAUCAGCAAACCUCAGCUCCAUCUUCCAAAUGCAUUCAAAAUUCAGCCACUUCUCACCACCUUCAGAGUGACCGCCAGGACCAAGCCAUCACCAGCUCCUGCCUGGAUAACGCGGAAGAGCAUUGCUACACUGCUUGACGUCUCCCACACCUCACUUACGUACCUUUACUUGUCCGAGGAUAUAAAUGCCACCAGAGCAGGGAUGGUGGUCUGUUUUGUUCACAGUUCGCCGCCAUCGCCUAAAGGGGCGCCUAGAGAGUGGAUUCUUUACCAUCGGUGCCACGAGGGAAGCCCACAGGCAACAGUUUCUGCAAGAACCCCCUGGUCAGUGAAGUGCUCGCCUACGAGACGACAUCUGCAGGCCGCUCAGGCAGGGCCCUCUGAAACGGCUGCCAUCACCGCGUCCUGGCCGCGUGGACUCAGUUGCCAAGAGUCUGAGGAUGGAAGCUAAGCUGGAG